CUGGUUGCCUGUGAAACGAAUCUAAGUUCUCCCUUAAUUUUACCCUACUCACAGACUCGAACACUUUCCCCGUAGCAAAUUAAGAGCAAUUUAAAGGAGGAACAGCUCCUUUAAAAAAGAAUACAAUCUCCUCCAGAGGAUAAGCACUUCUUCCACAAACUUGUAGGCCCUCAAGCAGCCACCACCAGAGAGUGCGUCAAAGCUCAAUUCCCAAAAAAUCCAAAAGCAAAUGCGACUCCCUCACCCAUAACAGGCUAACCUAUGAAAAAUAGGAGCAUUAAUGCUAAAAUAAGUAACUAAGGACAUCCUUCUAAAGCACAAACUUACAUUUUACAUUAUUAACAGGCCUACUAAUACCCCAACCACCACAAGACUAAAUAUUAAACAGCCCUGUUAAACCAACUCAGGAGUGCCUAUCUAGAAAGAUUUAAACCUGUAAAAGGAACUAGGCAAAUUUUAAGGCCCGACUGUUUACCAAAAACAUAGCCUUCAGCACACCAAGUAUUGAAGGUGGUGCCUGCCCAGUGACAUUAAGUUUAACGGCCGCGGUAUCCUAACCGUGCAAAGGUAGCGCAAUCAAUUGUCCCAUAAAUCGAGACUUGUAUGAAUGGCCAAACGAGGUCUUAACUGUCUCUUACAGGUAAUCAGUGAAAUUGAUCUCCCUAUGCAAAAGUAGGGAUAAACCCAUAAGACGAGAAGACCCUGUGGAACUUAAAAACCAGCAGCCACCCUAAACUAAACCAAAACCCACCAGGCUCACUACCAUAGACAAUUGGCUCGCAUUUUUCGGUUGGGGCGACCUUGGAGAAAAAAACAACCUCCAAAAAUAAGACCACCCCUCUUAACCAAGACCAACUAUUCAACGUACCAACAGUAACCAGACCCAGCAUAAGCUGAUCAAUGAA
rnacentral:rRNA from 1 species